CCCGCUGAACUUAAGCAUAUCAAUAAGCGGAGGAAAAGAAACUAACAAGGAUUCCCCUAGUAACUGCGAGUGAAGCGGGAAGAGCUCAAAUUUGAAAUCUGGCAGUUGUUGACUGUCCGAGUUGUAAUCUAGAGAAGUGUUACCAGUGCAGGACCGUGUACAAGUUUCCUGGAAUGGGGCAUCAUAGAGGGUGAGAAUCCCGUCUUUGGCACGGACUACCUGUACAUCAUGGUGCGCUCUCAAAGAGUCGAGUUGUUUGGGAAUGCAGCUCAAAAUGGGUGGUAAAUGCCAUCUAAAGCUAAAUAUUGGCGAGAGACCGAUAGCGAACAAGUACCGUGAGGGAAAGAUGAAAAGAACUUUGGAAAGAGAGUUAAACAGUACGUGAAAUUGCUGAAAGGGAAACGCUUGAAGUCAGUCACGUUGGCUAGAAAUCAGCCUUGCUCUUGCUUGGUGUACUUUCUGGUUGAUGGGUCAGCAUCAAUUUUGACCAUUGGAUAAAGGUCAUUGGGAAUACUCCCUGUGUCGUAAUACAGUGGUUGGGAUUGAGGAAUUCAGCACGCCGCAAGGCAGGGUUUCGACCACAUUCGUGCUUAGGAUGCUGGCAUAAUGGCUUUAAUCGACCCGUCUUGAAACACGG
rnacentral:rRNA from 1 species